rnacentral:rRNA from 1 species
UACCUAGGGUGCAAGCGUUAAUCGGAAUUACUGGGCGUAAAGCGUGCGCAGGCGGUUUUGUAAGUCUGACGUGAAAUCCCCGGGCUCAACCUGGGAAUUGCAUUGGAGACUGCAAGGCUAGAAUCUGGCAGAGGGGGGUAGAAUUCCACGUGUAGCAGUGAAAUGCGUAGAGAUGUGGAGGAACACCGAUGGCGAAGGCAGCCCCCUGGGUCAAGAUUGACGCUCAUGCACGAAAGCGUGGGGAGCAAACAGG